rnacentral:tRNA from 1 species
GCAGAGGUGCCGGAGUGGUCAAACGGGAUGGGUUUAGGUCCCAUUGGCUUAGUGCCUACGCAGGUUCGAGUCCUGUCCUCUGCA